UGGGGAAUUUUGGACAAUGGGCGCAAGCCUGAUCCAGCCAUGCCGCGUGCGGGAAGAAGGCCUUCGGGUUGUAAACCGCUUUUGUCAGGGAAGAAAUCUUCUGAGUUAAUACCUCGGGAGGAUGACGGUACCUGAAGAAUAAGCACCGGCUAACUACGUGCCAGCAGCCGCGGUAAUACGUAGGGUGCAAGCGUUAAUCGGAAUUACUGGGCGUAAAGCGUGCGCAGGCGGUUUUGUAAGACAGAGGUGAAAUCCCCGGGCUCAACCUGGGAACUGCCUUUGUGACUGCAAGGCUUGAGUGCGGCAGAGGGGGAUGGAAUUCCGCGUGUAGCAGUGAAAUGCGUAGAUAUGCGGAGGAACACCGAUGGCGAAGGCAAUCCCCUGGGCCUGCACUGACGCUCAUGCACGAAAAGCGUGGGGAGCAAAACAGGAUUAGAUACCCUGGUAGUCCACGCCCUAAACGAUGUCAACUGGUUGUUGGGAAGGUUCCUUCUCAGUAACGUAGCUAACGAGUGAAGUUGACCGCCUGGGGAGUACGGCCGCAAGGUUGAAACUCAAAUGAAUUGACGGGGUCAUAGCUG
rnacentral:rRNA from 1 species